rnacentral:rRNA from 1 species
UGGGGAAUAUUGGGCAAUGGGAGAGAUCCUGACCCAGCGAGGCCGCGUGAACGAAGAAGGCCUUUGGGUCGUAAAGUUCUUUUAUGCGGGAAGAAAAGAAUGACGGUACCGCAUGAAUAAGCCCCGGCUAACUACGUGCCAGCAGCCGCGGUAAUACGUAGGGGGCGAGCGUUGUCCGGAAUUACUGGGCGUAAAGGGCACGCAGGCUGUGCCUCAAGUCAGCUGUUAAAGGAUGCGGCUUAACCGUGUUAUGCAGUUGAGACUGAGGUACUGGAGUACCGAAGAGGCAAGUGGAAUUCCCAGUGUAGCGGUGAAAUGCGUAGAUAUUGGGAAGAACAUCGGUGGCGAAGGCGACUUGCUGGUCGGUAACUGACGCUGAGGUGCGAAAGCCAGGGGAGCAAACG